AGUCCAUGAGGGGGGGGAGGGGGUGGCGCGCGCGCCAUUUCUAGUCGUUUUGAAAGCGCCUCGCGCUGAUUCUCACGGGCCCGGCUGCCGGCCCCCGCUCUGUCCUGCAUAAUAAAAUGGCUAAUCAGGUGAAUGGUAAUGCGGUACAGUUAAAAGAAGAGGAAGAACCAAUGGAUACUUCCAGUGUAACUCACACAGAACACUACAAGACACUGAUAGAGGCAGGCCUCCCACAGAAGGUGGCAGAAAGACUUGAUGAAAUAUUUCAGACAGGAUUGGUAGCUUAUGUCGAUCUUGAUGAAAGAGCAAUUGAUGCUCUCAGGGAAUUUAAUGAAGAAGGAGCUCUGUCUGUACUACAGCAGUUCAAGGAAAGUGACUUAUCACAUGUUCAGGUAAGGUCGUUACUCAGAAAUGUCUUUGAACAAUUAGUAAUCUGAAAUUAUUUUACUAUUACUUUUUUUCCUAUGGAGAAGUGGUAUUUUUUGUUUGCAACUACCUCUUCUUUUAAAAAAUUAGUUUAAAGGAAAAAAAGAUCUGCUUGUGGCAGAGUUUCAGAAGCCCAAGUAAAAAGCAAAAGUUUCCUCCCACCCCCUUGUGCAGUAAGUUAUUUUAAAA
rnacentral:sRNA from 1 species